GAUGAAGAACGUAGCGAAAUGCGAUACUUGGUGUGAAUUGCAGAAUCCCGUGAACCAUCGAGUCUUUGAACGCAAGUUGCGCCCGAAGCCAUUAGGCCGAGGGCACGCCUGCCUGGGCGUCACACGUCGUUGCCCCCCCAUCUACUCCUUCGGGAUUGCGGGGGGCGGAUGAUGGCCACCCGUGCGCCUCGUCGCGCGGUUGGCAUAAAUGCCAAGUCCUCGGCGACGCACGCCACGACAAUCGGUGGUUGCGAAACCUCGGUUGCCCGUCGUGUGCGGUCGUCGCGCAUCGAGGGCUCGAAAAAAUUGCCGGGCUCCGGCUCGGCUUUCAACGCGACCCCAGGUCAGGCGGGGUUACCCGCUGAAUUUAAGCAUAUCAAUAAGCGGAGGA
rnacentral:misc_RNA from 1 species